rnacentral:misc_RNA from 1 species
ACAUAUUUCCAGGAGAAAGGCCACCACCAGCAGCAGGUAAGUGAGAAUCAAGUCAAGUAUGUGGUAUUUCGAUCUUUCCUUACAUAAAGAAAAUGAAAUCAAGGUAAAGAAAGUGCAAGAGAAAGUAAUCACACGAAGAAUGAAGCCUAGAGGAGUAUAAAUAACGGGUGCUUUGGUAUAGAAGGUAUCAUAUGCAAAUCCUAACUCUGUCUCGAUCACAUCAAAAGCAUCUUUUGGAGUAAGUUGCUUGAAGUAAAAUUGGCUGUUGUCUCUGUCCUGGAAGCUAAGGAUGAGAUCCACAAAAAGACGUUUAAAAGUCUGGAACUGAUCGAAAGCUUCAGAUAUCAGCAGCAAUUUAUCUUUACGAGUAGGGUAAGAAUGAUCAAUUGGAAGUGAGAUUUCUUUAACCUCAUCCGCAAUCACGUAGAAGCCCUCAGCUUUCUUCAAAGUAUAUUCCUCCAUGAAUUUAGCAUAAUUUGGUCCAGGAUCAGGGGAUGUCAGCAUUGAGUCCCUGAGAUUCUCGAUUUUUGCUGAACGAAGAGCACAUGUCCGCUCAGAGAACUUGAUAACACCAGAUACGAAGAUGAAUAAGCUUAGAAAUGGAAGCCAAGAAGAGCCUGGCAAGGACACAAGCAAGAUAUAGAAUGUUAGUCCACUCUGGAUUAUCAGACCGACUAAAUGCCUUAACCACAGCUCGUUAUCCUCCAAUGAAUAAGCCGUGAUAGUAUCAGGACCGCCA